GCCCGCCGCGUGUGCUGGCGGCUGCUCGGUGACCAGUUCCCUCACCUCCAACAGCUCGACCUCUAGUGCUUGAUGGCGGUCCAAAAUCUGCUCCAGUUUGGGAGAAAACGUCCCAGGUCUGGUCAUGGAUAGCGGGCCGCUGGCUGUCCUAAAACAUGUCUGCAGAAGACGUUGCACAGCCAGAGAGGGAUCAGGAAUACCUCGCAUCAACUGCAGGGGGCGCCCAUUGACCUCGCACAGCUCGGCCUCAUCGUCGGCCUCCUCAUCCUCCACUGCAAGAACAUAACAUCCUGUUUUUGGGAGGUGGACUCCAAAUCUGAGGUCUGCUGUAUCCCCGUGUUUGCUGCCCUCAGCAUGCUGGGAUAUGAUUGCAGGAGCGAUGGCCCUGCAGCGCACCACGGCGAGUCUGGACCCAGGACCUGGGGCCUGUCACCAGUCUGAGGUGGUGAUGUCAUGAGGCUGGUCCCCCCCGAGCCGAGGUGUGUCCCGAUGCCUCGCCAGCAUCACCCAAACUUUACAAUGUGUGCAGACCAGCGGAGCGGAUCAGUGGCUCGGCCAGGGUCGGACCGCCGAACAACGGGGGUCUUCCAUCAACGAUGGCUGAAAUGUGCUCAUGUCUGUUUUUGGUUCCUUGAAGGAAUAAAGUGUUAAACAUC